AUACGGAGGGGGCUAGCGUUGUUCGGAAUUACUGGGCGUAAAGCGCACGUAGGCGGUUUAUCAAGUUAGGCGUGAAAGCCCUGGGCUCAACCCAGGAACUGCGUUUAAUACUGAUAAGCUAGAGACCGGGAGAGGGUGGCGGAAUUCCCAGUGUAGAGGUGAAAUUCGUAGAUAUUGGGAAGAACACCGGUUGCGAAGGCGGCCACCUGGACCGGAACUGACGCUGAGGUGCGAAAGCGUGGGGAGCAAACAGGAUUAGAUACCCGGGUAGUCC
rnacentral:rRNA from 1 species